CGAUGGUGACGAUGAGUGCAACGAGGGGAAGAGUGAUUUGGGGGAAAUGAGAAAGUAAAUUUCGUGAGAGGAUUUGGAGGGAAAGUUAUGCUACAAUGACAAAGGAGUGUGACAAAAUUGGAUGACAAAGUUGGAUCUACACCAAUCAUUUCAAAAAUAGAUUUUUAAAUCAUUUGAAAUCAGUGGCCUGGAUUCUGUCAACACAUUUUGUAAAGCCACUUUUGUAACCCAACCUUGUUGAAGUAGAGUUAUUGUUGGAGGAAAUGGGAGAGACGAACAAAAAUUGGGGAAUGGGGAAGUAAAAUACGAUUUUGUUUCAACAUCUUUUUCAUUUUUUUUUUUUUAGAAAACUCUGCCACGUAAUUCAAUUUCGAAAUCC
rnacentral:lncRNA from 1 species